rnacentral:rRNA from 1 species
GUUUGGUCCUGGCCUUACUAUCAACUUCUUCUCCAUUUACACAUGCAAGUCUCAGCACACCCGUGAGAACGCCCUAUCUUCUUCUUUAGACUUAGGAGCCGGUAUCAGGCACAGGUUCGCCUUGCCCAUAACACCUAGUUUCACCACGCCCCCAAGGGUUCUCAGCAGUGAUUAACAUUGAAAAUGAGCGAUAGCUUGAUUCAGUGAGAGAAAUUUAGAGCCGGCUAAUCUGGUGCCAGCCGCCGCGGCUAUACCAGCAGACUCAAGCUGAUGGUCAUCGGCGUUAAGAGUGGUUAAAGAAUUUUAAGAUUAAAGUUGCACUUAGACCUGGCCGUAAUAAGCCCGUCUAUAUGAAGACCACAACGAAAGUCACUUUAACUCUUUCUCUUGAUUCCACGAAAGCAGGGAAACAAACUGGGAUUAGAUACCCCACUAUGCCAUGCCAUAAAACAUUAACUUAACCUAAC